GAAGAUUACCCAAACAUGGAUCUCAUUGGCAUCUCUGCGAGCAUCUAGCAACCGGAAAGUCUGCUACGAUGUCGGAUCCAUAUUCAGGGGCCAAAGGAGGUAGGCUCACCUUCAAGGGAGGAGUCUUAGCCUCCCGCAGUAAGGAUAUUGACAAGAAGAAGAAGAAGAAGAAGGAGAAGAAAGACAAAAGUAAAAGCGAGGAGAACCCCACGGACGAGGCCGAGAUUUUGUCGUCGGCUGACGGUGUAGAGGGUGAAGAGGGAGUGGUGUAUACUAUUGAUGCGGCCAAGCGUAUGAAGUAUGAGGAGCUCUUCCCGGUGGAGACCAGGAGGUUCGGUUACGACCCUAACAACGCCGAUACCAAGUUCAAGUCUGUGGAGGAAGCUCUUGAUGACCGUGUUAAAAAGAAGGCGGAUCGUUAUUGUAAAUAAUCAGAGAGAAACAUGCCUAUGAACUAUGGGAAGGAGUGCGUAGGCAUAAGUUAGUUACCUGCUCGACAUGAUAUGCUGAGUUAGACAAGGCAUUGGUCAUAAUGGAACUACUGAGAUUCCAGUGAUUUCUUGAGACGAUGCUCAUCAUGCUCCACUAAGCAACAGGUUCAACACUAUGCCUUAGAUUUCUAGUUUUCAUGGUAUUUGAUCUAAUAUAGACUCAUGGAGCCAUUACCACAGAAAAAAAUGUUGGUACGGCUUAAUCUUUGGUUGUUAGUUUAGUAUUUUGUAGAAAAGAAUGGUUAUGGAUUAUUCCAACAAUUCAGGAACCAAAUAAUUUAGCAUGGAUUGAAUUAUAAUUCUUGACUGCCACAAAAAUCAUUAUAAUAGUGUUAAAGUUAGGGGAGAGGGAAAUGCUGUAAAGGAAUAUGGGAUUUCUCUUAAUUCAUUUUCCAUUUUUGAACUUGUGUUCAUCAAUUUCAGCUUAUGAGCUUCUAAAAUUUCAA